rnacentral:tRNA from 1 species
GGUAAAAUGGCCGAAUAAGGUGAUAAAUUGUAAAUUUAUUUAUGAGAUUUCUUUUACU